rnacentral:rRNA from 1 species
GAUGAACGCUGGCGGCGUGCCUAAUACAUGCAAGUCGAGCGAACGGACGAGAAGCUUGCUUCUCUGAUGUUAGCGGCGGACGGGUGAGUAACACGUGGAUAACCUACCUAUAAGACUGGGAUAACUUCGGGAAACCGGAGCUAAUACCGGAUAAUAUUUUGAACCGCAUGGUUCAAAAGUUAAAGACGUUCUUGCUGUCACUUAUAGAUGGAUCCGCGCUGCAUUAGCUAGUUGGUAAGGUAACGGCUUACCAAGGCAACGAUGCAUAGCCGACCUGAGAGGGUGAUCGGCCACACUGGAACUGAGAAACGGUCCAGACUCCUACGGGAGGCAGCAGUAGGGAAUCUUACGCAAUGGGCGAAAGCCUGACGGAGCAACGCCGCGUGAGUGAUGACGGUCUUCGGAUCGUAAAACUCUGUUAUUAGGGAAGAACAUAUGUGUAAGUAACUGUGCACAUCUUGACGGUACCUAAUCAGAAAGCCACGGCUAACUACGUG